GCAAUAAACUAUAAUUCACUUCGUUCAUAGUCCACAAGCCAGACAAGAGUAUCAAGGCACUUCUAUACUCAUCUUUUAGUCAGCGGACAUGGAAUAUUACAAGAUUACAGAGUUUACGGGCAAUAAAAAUUAUUGAGCACAUGCAUUAUCUUCAGGCAUGACUUAAUAUUGUACUUGAUUGAAAGCCAAAAAUUGGGCAAAUAAAAAUUUAAAAGAGGGUCAACAUUCAUGAGAUGAAAAAUAAGUCUUACGGACAUCUAUAAUUUAAAGACAAUAAUCUUACAAGUAUCAGUGAAAGUCACAGCAUAUUCAACGUUUUCUUUUUCUCUUGCUGUCUCUGCUUGUAUUAGUCUUCGAGUUUGGAUCCGGUUUUGAAACUACCAACUUGGACCACACAGCAGAACUCCACAAGGCCCUUUCUACAUCUGAUACUGUGAAGUACUCCCCGUUUGAACUUAAUUCCUUAGAUUUACUUAGUAGCUUAUCCGUGAAUAGAAGAUACUGCUUCAACGUAUAAUCUUUUGAUGUACCCAGAGCUGCUUCCAUAGCCUCAUCAGACAUGAAAGGUGCGACAUCAGGCGCAUAGGCAGCCAAAACGGCGGAGGCAGUUGCCGGACCGACGCCUUUCAAAACCGUAAGCUGAGAAACAGCUUUCCUUAAAUCAGGAAGCGAUUCAAACGCCUUUUGAGAAGCAGAUUUCACUAACUCCUCGUCCAAGGACGAGACGAAGUCCAGCAAGCGGGGCCUCAAGCAAUCAAAUGUACAGAAAUUCAUCAAUUAACUAUAAUAGAUAUGUUAGAAUCUAUAAGAGAGGGUGAGAGUGCAGUUACCUCCAUUUUCCACGGGAAAGCUUCCAUUGCAUGAGCUUGGAGAGCUCAAGAGUGGUUAUGUACGGCUUAGGGUUUCGCUGAUGAAGGAGAGAGGGAAGUUGGAUUCGGUAGAAUUGGUCGAGAGAAACGAGAUUGGGUUUGUUGAGAGAUUCUAUGCGAGCAGGAUAAGAAGAGAGGGCCUCCUUCCAGGAACUGAUAUCGGAGCUCCUAAAAUCCAUAAUCACGGGCAGUACCUGAAGCAGUGGCAACCCGCCGGAGUAUUUUUAAAAUUUAAUUUCUUCUCUUGAUUUUUCAGGUGGACUUGGCGGGUGAUAUUCUUGACCAUUAGACGAUGGGCC
rnacentral:misc_RNA from 1 species